CGAGGCUUAUGAUGAUUAAGAAUUGCCGACAUUGUCUGAUCUUUACUUUGAUGACAAUAAAAGUAACAAAUCUGAGGCCUUA
rfam:Gossypium raimondii Chr07_contig_1376, whole genome shotgun sequence.